GGGGUGGCGCCCAUAUUUUGGCGGGCCCGCCGAGGAAGGGGACGAAGGUUUACCGAGCCGACGUAGUCCUCCAUGACUGACUGCUUCCGCCUCUUGAAGGAGCUCAGUGUGGGGGUCUCCAUCGCCGGGGCCUUGCUCAUCGACCUCUUCGUAGGGGUCAUGCUCUGAAACCAACCCCCAAAAGUAGCCGCAUCUUCGUUUAAUAAAAUUAUGGAAACCGGAGGGAGGGAGGGGGGAGAGAUCUUCGGACCUUGGCGAUCUUCUUGUCCUUCCGGGCCUGCCUCUCUCUCUCAUCAAACUCCUGGUUCUCCUUCUCCACCAGCCGAAUGAGGGUGUCGCAGCGCCUGGCGAGCUCCUGGGUCGUCCUCGACUUCACGAACCAGUCGAACCGGAAGAGCGGCGACGUGCGGAAGGCCGCCUUCAGCUCGUCCCAGUUGCCGUAUCCGAGCUUGUGGACCAUGCAGAGCUGGAGAUGACACCAGUCACAGCUGAUGAGAGAGAAGACGGUAGCGAGAGAGAGAGAGAGAGGGGGGGUGGCUCACCAUGAACCUGUCGCACUCCUCGUUGUAGAGCUUUCCCUUGUUCUGGCCGUACUGAAUCUUCAGCUCCAGCCAGGGGUUCUUGUAGCGGUCCAUCUUCUUGCCGAUCGCCUUCAUGAUCUCGUCUUUCCGCGAGAUCCUCGCCUCCCCCCUCUCGAUGUUCUUGAUUAUCCUGUCAUAGUCUGCGGCGGGCAGUAAACAAUCCACCCGGUGUUCUAGGGAGGAGGAAAUAAAGGAGGAGGGCUCCAGCUCAUGCUCACCGUUCAGCUCCUUGUAUCUCUCCUUGAAGGCCUUGGCGUAUCUUUCGACCUCCUCCUCCGACUUGCCGUCCAUCUCAGAAGAUAUGCUCUUGACGUCGCUCCGGCCGUACUUCUCACAGGCGCGGAUGAACGUGUUGAAAUCCCUUCUGGUCCACGUCGAGAAUCCCUGCGGCCAGACAAGGGGCAGCAGUCGUGAGCACCUGCAGAAAACAGCCAGCCAAGGAGACGAUCGCGCGCUCCAGACCUCCUCCAGCAGCCGCUCCUUCUCUUCCUGCUCGGCAGCAGUCAAGGGCUCCCCCACGUCUGCAGUGUGAAGACAAGGUGUCAGGAGCGUCCUCGGGCGAAGGCAGAGAGCAGGAAUGCGAGGAUCCAGAGGCUAAGUCGUCCACCUUCAGAUUCGUCCCCAUCAGCAAUGGUGUCCUUUAAUU
rnacentral:lncRNA from 1 species